UAAUACAGAGGUCUCAAGCGUUGUUCGGAUUCAUUGGGCGUAAAGGGUGCGUAGGUGGUGAUGCAAGUCUGGUGUGAAAUCUCGGAGCUCAACUCCGAAAUUGCACCGGAUACUGCGUGACUCGAGGACUGUAGAGGAGAUCGGAAUUCACGGUGUAGCAGUGAAAUGCGUAGAUAUCGUGAGGAAGACCAGUUGCGAAGGCGGAUCUCUGGGCAGUUCCUGACACUGAGGCACGAAGGCCAGGGGAGCAAACGGGAUUAGAUACCCCGGUAGUCCUGGCAGUAAACGGUGCACGUUUGGUGUGGGCGGGUUCAGACCCCGUCCGUGCCGGAGCUAACGCGUUAAACGUGCCGCCUGGGAAGUACGGUCGCAAGAUU
rnacentral:rRNA from 1 species